UGGCAACGGGUGAGUAACACGUGGGCAACCUGCCCAAAAGAGGGGGAUAACACUUGGAAACAGGUGCUAAUACCGCAUAACCAUAGUUACCGCAUGGUAACUAUGUAAAAGGUGGCUAUGCUACCGCUUUUGGAUGGGCCCGCGGCGCAUUAGCUAGUUGGUGGGGUAAAGGCUUACCAAGGCAAUGAUGCGUAGCCGAACUGAGAGGUUGAUCGGCCACAUUGGGACUGAGACACGGCCCAAACUCCUACGGGAGGCAGCAG
rnacentral:rRNA from 1 species